rnacentral:misc_RNA from 1 species
CUCUAAACGAUUUUAGGUUAAAUUGUUUUCACACAUGCGUAAAAAAUUUAACUAGGCCAACCACUAUCUUUUAAUAUGUCAUAACUGACUAUGUUGAUGUUGACUACACGCAUACUAUAAUCUAUAAAGGGAGGAGCUCAGUCAUCUCUAUAAAAAAGCAAAAAUCCACUUGGUUAUAGUUUGUCUGUCUCUCACUGAGUUGGCCCGUUUCUCUAAUUAUGCCAAAGUUAAUACAUAAUAACUAAAAGAAGUAAAUGAUUAAAUAAUUGGCUGACCUAGUAAGAUUGCAGAACUAGUAAUGGUUUUGGCUGCCAGCUUAUAGCAGGUCUCAUACAUGAACGAUAUAUUAAGAGCAAUAGAGAAGACUUACAUUCCCACACUUUCUGCUUGUCAUGCCAGCACCACAUCCUACAUAUUAACCAAACCUAAAACAAGUUCCCGUGUCCACUCUCAUAAAAGCAAUAAUACAAGGGUUACACUCUUUUCUGGGGAAGUCAAUAUAACAUACAGUCCACUGCUCCCCCAUUUCAAAGUUUUAACCUUACAGAAUCCAAAUUAUGCCAUGCAACUCACAAAAGCUCUUAAAUAGUUAUAAUAGUAAGAGCAAAAGCAUGAUAAUCUCAUCACAUCAAUUAUGCUAAGGCAUGACCAUUAAGAAAAUUUAAGUUAAACAGACAGAGAAAUGGAAAAAGAGAGAGAGAAACUGAACCACUCAUAAAAAUACAGAUGGUCAAAGAUAUCAUGUUUACAGCAUUUCCCUACCUG